GAGAGUACUGGUGGCCAGAGCCAUUAGAGGACUCUGCCAGCAAGCCUGGCCCUAGCUUAGCUUAGGAGAAGCAGCCAUGAGUAAUGCCAUUCACUCCACUGGCUAUUCCCAGGCAACAGUGCAAGUGGUGAUGAUGGACCCUCGCCAUGGAACUCAGAGGACCACUUUGAACUGGAAGAUGCGGAUGGCUAGGGAGGCACCUGUAGCAAGCAAUGAUCUUAAUUUUUUCCAUGAACACAUGACCCACUUUCCUUUGGGAAUCUGGGAUAAUUAGAGGCAGAAGUGGGUGUGAGUUGAAUCAGAAUAACCUACAAGGUUAACAUUUGUAACCCCUUGGAUUAGUCAUUGUUUUUACUUAACAUGGAAACUAGUGAAACCUGGAAAUCUUUAAGUUGCCUUAAUUACUUGUUGGUUUUAUUGGGUUUUUUUGUUUUGUUUUUGCUUUUGCUUUGUUUCAUUUUGUUUUGUUUGUAUAAGAGAAGCAUAUAUAGAGAGUUAAGAGGAGAAUCUUAAGAAGACAAAAGUCAUGGAGAAAAUAAGGACAGGUUGUGAAGCUCCUGGUCCCCAAAUGAGCAACAGGGACCAAGUGGGAAACAGCAUGAAAAGAAAGCAACGUUCCUUCUGAGGCAGAAGGGAAGGGGCUGAAAUGAAGACAGAUUCUCAUAUGUGGGCUCCACUCCCUCACUUCAGUCUGAGGCUGUCCUCUGCUAAGAGAGGAUUUAGAUAAAUAAAAACAAUGUGAGCAGGUCUAAGGAGGCCAAUGGUGUGUCCAUCUUUUUGGAGCUGACUCCAGAUCUACAAAAGGCAUGUUGAAUCAUGCCAAGGGCUUUGUCGAAGUUGAAGGCCAUCACUGAUGAAGUAGCAAAGCCUUCUCUGGCUUCCUAAGUCCUGGACUCAGGAGCCCUCUAUUGGGCUUCCUUGAAACUCAGUGCCCCAACUCUGAUUAUUUUGAUCCUGUUGUGGUCUAUUGAAGUCUAUCCUUCCUACCACCAGUCAGUCUCUGGGCCCUGAGGAGGCUCUGCUCUCACUCACGUUGGUUAGGGUUAGAGUGAAGUGUAAAUUUAAGGGUUCUUUGGAAAGUUGGUUGGAUGAUGUUUUGCUGGGGAAAACACAUGAAGGAACAUUUAGCUGAAACAGACACAAGUGAAAGGAUGUUCUGCUAAAGCAAGUACAUGAAAGGACACGGGAUGAAGGAUUCUUUGCUAACAACACACAUGUAUUGUUCCACUUUACAUUCCAUAGUUGAGCUGCAUUUGUCAGGACUCCAUGGAGAGAAAUGAACCAAAAAUCUUCAGGUGGUGUGCUGCAAUUUCUUGCUACUUCCUCAAACUUGGACUGAUUGGCGGAGUGAUGUCAGUUCAGACAGACCCGUGCUGAUCCCUGGAAAGCACAUGAUGUUUGGAGGGUAUAAAUAGACCUCCAGUCUGUGAUGGAGGCUGAGCUUGGCCUGCUGGUGUAGCUAGCUGUACAAUGCUUGUGGGUCUUGAGUCUUCGAUGAUCUUCAUUUCCCAGAGAGAGGCACAGCUGAGAACCUCCUGGCAUUCCUUCUGGUCCUUCCUGCUGAGAGCUGAGGCUGAGGACUGGCUGUCUCUGUUAGGUGGUGCCACUACUGCUGAUUUGUGUUUGCUAUCCUGAUUCUACUGAACUGGACUGCUGGUGUAUCCGUGAAGUGUUUGUGAGUGGACCGAGCUGCCACUGUUGACCUUCGUAAAGAACUGCCAAAUUCCAGACAACACAGGUGGGAGUUGCUCCGAACAAUCUUUCUAAACAGAUCCUUUCCCCACAUCCUUUCUUUCCCACCACCUCUAGUUGGGCGGUGGGAUAAAAGGGAGGUUAAAGCAUUUAAGAACCAUCAUUAAAAGUAGGCAUUUAAAAACUUAGUUACAUUAGGGUCCUCUCAAGUAAGAUGUGCUAUCCAGGGAGAGGGGCUCAUGAGAUGCAGGAGUCUCACGCACUUCAUAAGCCCAAGAAGUUCCUGAAGCAAGACUCAUAGGCCACGUCAGGGCUGGAUAAGCAGUGAAUGAGAAGAGUCUUGAAUUCAGCUAACCUCAAAGCAUGUAGAGAGCUCUGGGGUGCAGCUUUUGUAAGUUGUCACCAUAGUGGGGAGAGCUUUUCAGUGAUGCAGCUGUCUUUGGGUCAUCCACACCCAAAGGCUGUAAGUAACCCCGGUAAACUCAUUGAUUCAUCAUGCUGGUCUGGUGAAAUUGUUGUUUGCUCUUUUGUUGGUUCCCUAUCUAGGGUUGACAGACAUGGCUCAGAUCCCCAGAAGUUUAUUGAACACCAUUGUGUCCUUUUGGGUUUGCUUCUAUUAUUUAUAGGCCACAGUGUAUUGGGUACUCUGCAAAUGUUGGAUAGAAAUGCACCAGAUAUUCAUGUGACCAUUGUGAGCUUUCUUCUAUAGCUCUCAGAAGCCAGGGGAGAGAAGACGAAAGGAGAUAAUGUAUGACCCAAGGUUAUUUGUGGAUUUGCAGGGUGGGUGUAACAGGAGGUGAAGGGUGUAGCUGUGAAGGGUGUUGUCCAGAGUCUUGUUGACAAGAUGCUCCAGGAAGGUUGGGUUGGGCAGCAUGUGAAAGGUGGCCCUGGUCCAGAGGAGGAGUCAGGCUCGGGUGAGGCCUUGGGAGGGAAGUGCUAACAGGAAGUGUUAGGGUUGAAGCAGAAUGAGAUGUGACCUCUGGCAGGCCCAGUGUCCCUGAGCUGUACUUUUAAUGAAUUCCUCACAAUCCAAUGGGCACUCCCAUAGUCCAGAGUGAGGAGAGGAAAGAACUAGAUAGUGAGUAGAUUCUAUUUGGAAAACAGUCUUGUAAGACACAAGGAACGGACAUUAGAACUUAACUGUCAAACUACAACAGUGACGUUAAAGUUUUACAGAAAAGUUUUCUCUAAAGCAGUUGUUGCGGUUUAAAUGUAAUGUGUCCUCUAUAGGCCUGUGUGUCUGAACAUUUGGUCCUCGGCUGGUGCACUCUUUGGGAGAGUUGUAGAACAUUUUGGUCAUGAUUCCUAGGCUUGUAGACAUAGGGCUACAGAAUUUGAGCUUAUGGGUUAUGGUCUGUCUGUCCAGCCCCAGUUUCUGGUUCUCUCCCCUCUGUCUUGUGGUUAGGUAUGUUUGUUUGUAUGUAUGUUUACGCACAUAUGACAUGUACAUGCAAGCGAGUGCACAUGUGCCUGCACAUGGUUGGCACAUGUGUGUGGAGUCAUAUGGAGACAGUAUCUUCCUCAGUCAUUAUAGUUGGCAAAUUCUGCUUGCAACCCAUAUGAUGUAACUCCCCCACCCCAUAUACUGCUGCAUUGAGCUGUCCCUGGGGUGAGCUGUCCAGUCAUGCUUUUCCUACCAUAAUGGCUGUGCUCUUCAUCUAUAAGCAACGAUAAAUCUUUCCUUCCUGAAGCCACUUCUUUCGGGUAUUUUAUCACAGCAAUGAGAAGAUAACUAACACAGUAGUUGAGAGACCUUUACAUAAUCCUGUGGUUAAAUCUUGCAAUUCUUGUAGCUUUUGGUCACAAUCAUUAUAUUGAUUUUGAAUAUAGGUACACACUGAAGUCAUCCUUGUCAGUCUCAGACUUGGCACACAGAGGUGCUGUCCAGCAGGCUGACAAGUUCCAAAUCAUUCCCAAGCCUUGAGCUCAUUAGUUUAGUAAUAAUUAGAACUCAUUUCCACUGACAUCUUAAUCAGUGAAAUUUAUACACUUGCUCUAAUGGCUUCCUCAUGGUGCAGGUUUUGGGGUACCAUUAACUGAAUCCACCUCAUUCAGAUUCCUGAGAUGUCUUACGGUGUGUUCAUUUAAUUCUACUAUCAAUUUUAUCCCAAAGAGAAUCUAUCAUCCUGCUGUAAUUUUGAUUGCUGUCAGGAAAGACAGAGAGAGGUUGGAAAUGGACCACAGAAGCCAUGGUAUGUAUGCCAUGAACAAACUAAAACACUGUCUGUUAAGGCAGCAUUUGUGGCGCUCUCUCUCUCUCCCUCCCUCCCUCCUCCCCUCCCUCCCUCCCUCCCUCCCUCUGUGUGUGUGUGUGUGUGUCAUCAUCUUUGAUCUAUUUCUAAACUGUGCACAUUGCAGAAAAUAAACAGUAAUCCAAAUGGUUCUCUACCAUGGAAAUACAAAUGAAGGGUGCUCAGUGGAAUGCACUGGGCUCAUUUCGUAUCUAUUUGUAAAUUUGCUUCAAAGCCUUCUAUUGACUAUAUACAUGUGGCUCUUUGAUUUCUCCUUUGAAGUGGUCGUAACAUCUCCUUGGCUCUCUCACUAAUUGAUGCAGUAAAGAAAAUCUUUGAUCCAUGACCAUUUUAUCUGAGAGUCUCAAUUUUUCUUUUUUUCUUUCUGUAUUAUUUUUUUUAAACCAAAGAUCCUUUUUACAACAUCUAAUUAAGUUUCACCUAGCACCGGACCAGAGAUAUAAGGAAUGUGUGACUUGAACACAUGAGAAUCUGCUGUAAGCUAUAUAUGAAUCAGGUCAAUGGGUAGAUAGAAUACCAGAGACUUCCGGUGGCCAUUGGAUCGGAGGGGAAAUCAGGGUUGGAAUGAUUGACAGAGAUCAUUGACUAGAACUCUUGUCAAUGAAGGGAAACACUGAAUUGAGGAAGGAUGUGGUGGGAAUCAGCAUGGCUUACUUGGACUUGUUUAUUCUCCCAAAGCCUAGAUGAGAAUAAUUCAAUGGUUAAACUUUAUUUGCGAUCUGCAACCCAAUGCAAUGAUUCCAGGGGUUCCUGUACCCAAUCACCCAUCAGACACAGCUAAGGAACUGUAAGAAACACUGAUUUAAGGGACCAACCACAGGAACUCUGCAUAAUUGGUCUGAGUAGUGGGGAGACAGGGAAAACUCCUCAAAAGAGUCUAAAAUGAAACAAGUUAGGGAACUCUUGAGCUGUGGAUUGUAUACGUGUAACCUGGCUUACUUCAACCCUCCUGGAGGUGCUAUGAAAGAAGAGUUUCACCUUUGUUUUACAGACCAGGGCACAGAGGCUUAGUGGGAACAAAUGAUUUCUCUCUCAGAGGGCUUCUGUGACUUACUGGUGAGAAAAUUCAGCGGACAGAAAGCUGGAUUAGUGCUGAAGGGUUUGUGGUAAUUUUUAACAAUGACAUUAUGAUUAUGGAAAUAGAGUUCACUCACGCAGCGAAUGUUUACCAGGUGCUAUGCCAGGCUCUGUCUGGGGGACUGAGAAGUGAAAUGGUGUUCAAGGCAGACUCUAGUUUUGCUCUAAUCAACUCAGGCUGGCAUGAGGGUGGGGGGAGUCUUCUGCUUCCUCAAAGUAGAAAUGUGUAACUAGGAGUGUCAUUCAGUGGCAGAGCCUCGAUUCUGUCCCCAGCACUAAAAAGAAAAGAAAAGAACAAGAUAAAAAGCAGAAGGGUUAUUCUGAGAGAAUAGUGUGUGUAGUGAUGAUGAUGAUGAUGAUGAUGAUGAUGAUGAUGAUGAUAUAGUUAUAGUUAUAUGGUAUAUUGUAUGUAAUCUAUCAUAUAAUCUAUUAUAUAUUAUAUUAUACAUAUCAUAUAUCAUGUAUCACAUAUUACAUAUCACACAUCAUAUGUUGUCAUAUUUUAUAUGUUGCUAUAUUUUAUGUAUUCUAUAUCCUAUAUUCUGAAUUAUAUGUCAUACACCACAUACUACAUACUGUACACCAUAUACUACAUAUAUGAUAUUACACAUAUCAUAUAUUGUAUAUCUGUAUACACAGUUUUAUAUAUAUAAUGAAGAUGUGGAGGUGUAUGCUUGUAAUCCCAGUGUUGGGAGGAUACCGGGAGACUGAGUGGUCCACCAACCUAACCUACUUGGCAAAUCCCAGGACAAUGAAAAACCCUGUCUCAAAAGCACAAGGUGUAUGUAGAUGAUAUUUGAGAAAUGACAGCUGAGGUUGUCCUCUGGCCACCAUAUUCACACAGGUGCACCUGCACACACAUGCACACACCCAGGUACGCAUGCAAGAAUGUAUGCACAAAUGUUAAGUCUGUGGGUAGAGUCUGAGAUCUACCCGGGACCUGUGGAUGCAGAGCCAGUCCAUCCACGUAUGAAUUCUAGAGUUUAGAAGUGAAUCAGCUAGCUGCUUCCCUUAUUGCUGUGACGAAGUACCUUGAACUAGGUGAAUUACAGACAACACAAAUUUACUGCUCACUGGUUCAGAGGCUGGGAAAUUGAAGAUCAGAGAGCCUGCAGAUUCCACAUGUGGGGAGGGAUGGAAUUCUCUGUUUCACAGAUGACACCUUCUUCCUGAGUCCACAUGUGGCAGAAGAGGCAAACACAUCCCCUCAGCCACUUUUUAUCACAUGCCAGAAGGUUUUACCUCCAUGCCCACGCCCCUGCCAAACACCUCCUUACCUAGCACCUUUGCAUUGAGGGAUUUUAGACUAGGAAUUGAGGGCGGAGACACAAACAGUCAGCCACUCUCGGUAAGAGCUCUGCCAGCCUUACUGAGAACUCCACAGAUUAUUUUAAGUGAAGGGAGCUCCGGGUGGGGGUGGGGGUGCCAACAGAAACAGGCAGUGCAUAGGGAAGUAUAGAAGAUCCUCACCCGCCAUGUCCAGGAAUAGAAGCAGCAAGCCUGUGACGUCUGUGUCAUCCCAGGGUGUGCAGUUGAACUUCUUGAGUGUGUUUGUGUUUAUUAUUAAAGCCCAUAAUGGUUUCAACAGCAGUUAUUUUUCUGUGUAUAAAAUUAAUGGGAGUCUCAUUUUCUCUCCUUUUAUAGAAAUCAUUUUAGAGAUUAUAGGGUAAAUUCACAGAAAUGGGAGUAUAUGAAUUACAUCAGAUUAAGGGUAUUUUUAUAGAAAAAGUCAAUUAUGCUAGAGGGGGCUGUUACUUAAUAAACAGAGAGCUAAGAUGAAGCAAAGCAUACAUGGCUGAUUUUAGUAGCUAAUGUCUAGCCCAUUGCAAAUACACACUGCAUUUAAAAUCUUUCUCUUUCUCUCUCUUUCCUUUUCCCCUCCUCCUCUUCCUUCCUUCUACUCUCUCUCUCUCUCUCUCUCUCUCUCUCUCUCUCUCUCUCUCUCUCUCUGUAUUUGGGAGCCCCCACCCAUUCUCCCAUUUUUAGGAAAAACCCUUCAGAUGAAUACUAAAAUAAGUUCCAUUCUGGUGAAAAAGAAAGCAGAUCCAGGAAUGUGCCUGGGGGAGUUCAAUUUUUCUCUUCUGUAUUGUGUGGCCUCUUGUUGGAAUUACCCUGCGUGGACCCAUAAUCCAAUUGCAGCCCAUUGUUAUUAGUGUCGGGGAUAAUUACACCAUGCAUGUUGAUGGUUUUCCAGUCUUUGGAGGGCUUUCCCUUGUAUUACUCCUUAUAAUUUGCUCCACAAAUACAAGUAUGAAGCAAGACAAGAGUAAUUUUCCUUUUCUUUAUGAAGGAAGAUAGGUGAAGCUCGCUACAAAUCACAUUGCUGAUGAAAUGGUAGAAGCAGAAUGGCAGGCCAGGGCAUGUGAUUCCUAAUCUGGGGGCUCUGCCCUGCACUUGGCCUAUCUUGUACUAUACUGAGAUUCUGACCAUGCAUUCCUGUCAUAAUCUGUAAUGGCCCUGCUGCAUUUAUCCACAGAAAUAUGACAUAUGGGACAAUAAACCUGGAGCAAACAGAAGAAGAGGGAAGAAAAUUUGUAGUUGGAAUGUCUUUCUGUUUAGCACCCAAAUGAUGGACAGAAGCAGAGCCCCAAAAUCUUUAUUAGAUAUAUUUCUUUACUUACAUUUCAAAUGUUAUCCCCUUUCCCGGUUUCCUGUCCAAAUCCCUCAUCCCCUCCCCCUUCCCCUCCCCCUCCCCCAUACGGGUAUUCCCCCCAUCCAUCCUCCUUACUGCUCCCCCCCAUAUUCCCCUGCACUGGGGGUCCAACCUUGGCAGGACCAAGGGCUUCCCCUUCCACUGGUGCUCCAACAAGGCUAUCUUCUGCUACAUAUGCAGUUGGAGCCCUGGGUCAGUCCACAUAUAGUCUUUUGGUAGUGGUUUAGUCCCUGGAAGCUCUGGUUGGUUAGCCUCAUUGUUCUUAUGGGGUUGCAAGCUCCUUCAACUGAGCCCCAGAAUCUUUAUCAAGCUUUCUAGGGGCAGCAUCUCUGGCGGUGAGGCAGAAGUGUACUGUUGGAAACCUAGGUGGUGGGUAAUGCUGACUGAAAUACUGUCCAGCUGGUAAGUGAUGGAAACAUGCCUAGUGGCUGCUUUCCAGGUAAUUGACUUUAUUGCUAUUCUAUGCCCAGGCAGAUUGCUGAGGGGCCUGAAGGACAGCCAAACUCCUCUGGGAAUCUCUCCAGCCUCCUACCCUCCUACCUCUCCAUCGUUCUCUUGAGAGCACACACUUAUUCCCUGAAACUCCUUCUUUCUGAUGAUCCAAAUAGAAGAUAUGUCAAGGACCAAAAUCUAGCUACACCAAAGGGUUGAUGGCUUCGCCCAGGUCACAUGGUAACUGGAAAAAUUCAGACAAGUGAGAAGCGACUUGGGGAAAAUUUUUUUUCCUUGUCUUGUUUUUCUUUUCUUUCUUAAGCCAACUGGUAUGGUGGCUACUUAGUUAGCAUAUGACUUUCUGUAGCUUGAUGGCUGCGGUUUGAAAAGCCUUGGCCAUGUUGAAUAAUCUCAGUUAUUUCCAAGCUUCAGUUUUAUUUCUGCGUAUAAUCAUCUACAAAGUUCACAGAGGUUCUUGUAACUCCUGGUGAGUUAUAGUCAUUAGUUUUUUCCCCCUUGUCCUAAACUCUGGCUGGUAUGCUGACUAGAUCAUGGGAGAAGCAGAUGCCAAGGCAGUAUUUAACAUGGCAAAGACUCAUAAUGAGGAGGAAGGUUAAAAUCAUUAUAAAGGACAAUGAGCAAAGAGCUGGUGGAAGGUGGGAAAAGAGAACCUAACCAUAAUGCAGAUGUAUCAGCCAUGAUAAAGGUGCAAAACAAGAGAAUUGGGUAACAAGUGUCCUGGCUACUGUUUUGUUAACUUGACACAAGUUUAGAAUCAUCUGGGGAAAGUAACCUCAAUUAAGAAAUACCUCAUGCCGGAUAGUUUUGUGUCAAUUUGACACAAGCUAGAGUCAUCAGAGGGGAAGAAGCAUCAAUUGAGAAAAUGCCUCCAUAAGGCUGUAGGUAAGUAAGCCUAUAGGGCAUUUCAUUAACUGGUGGUUGAUGAGAAGAGCCCAGCCCAUUGUGGGUGGCGUCAUCCCCAUCCCUGAGCUGGCGGUCCUAGGUUCUAUAACAAAGUUGGAUGAGCAAGCCCUGAGAAGCAAGUCAAUAAGCAGCACUCCUCCAUGGUCUCUGCACCAGCUCCUGCCUCCAGGUCCCUGUUCUGCUUGAGUUCCUGUACCAACUCCCUCUAUUGAUUAGCAGCAAUAUGGAAGUGUAAGGCAAUUAAACCAUUUUUUCCCAACUUGCUCUUUUGGUCAUGGUAUUUCACUGCAGCAAUAGAAACCCUCUAUAGGCCUCUAUCAGACUGGCCUAUGAGCAAGUGUGUGGGGGGAGGAACAUUUUCUUGAUUAAUGAUAAGUAUGGGAGGGUCUAGCCCACUGUGGCAAUUCCACUCCUGGGAAGGUAAUUCUGGAUUACAUUAAAAAGGUAGUUGAGAAAGCCAGUAAGCAGAGUUCCUUUAUGUCUUGAUUUUCAAUUCCUGCCUCCAGGUUCUUGUCUUGACGUCUCCCUGUGACUUCCCUUAGUGACAGACUGAGCCAUGGAAGUGUAAGGUGAAAGAACCCCUUUCCUUCCCCAGUUCCUUUUGGUUAUGGUGUUUAUCACUGCAACAGAAACCUAACUUGGACAUAAGGUUACUAAGGAUUUCCAUUCAUGGCUUGACUCCAAAAAGUUGAUCCUGGAAACUUGCUGCAUUGGUAGUUGCCAUGGUGAACACUGUCACACCCUGGGCUCAGUCAUCAUUUGGGGCUAUCCAUGUCCUGCACGCCCUCAGCCUAAAUACUGAUUCAGAUUAUCAAGACUGCCAUAGCCAGAGACCAGAAACAAUUUCUCUCUUGACCAUAGAGCUGAGUCAUGCACUUGCUUAGCAGUGGGCAGAAGGAAGCGGACUCUUGUAGCAAGGUAAAACCUCACCUUUACAUGUACUCACAGAGACUCGGGCCUCUCUGACAAGAGACUGGCAGAGAUACUCAUUUCUCCACACGUGCAUCUAUAUGUCCAUUCAUUCUUUUGUCCAUUUGAUGCUUUAGAUGGUAGAAGCAGAUCUGUUAAAGCGAGCUCAUCUGUCUGAGACGGAGCCACUAACCACACUCAAAUAAAUACAGAGAGCCUGCCAUAGCGCCUUCUUGAUUCUUGCUAGUGCUUGGCGUUACUGUCAACAUGUUCUAACCUCUUUGAUUCCAUGUUCUAGGCACAGAAAAUGAUGGGGCUUAGCACAGUGUCCUUGUGUUCAGGUCAAAGAUUGCAGCAGGGGUGGCCAGCUGACUUGGCUAUGUGCCUUCUAAUUCCUAAGCCACAGAAGCUAUUUGCUUUCAAAAUAGCCCCGGCCUUUGGUAAUAAUAUUUCAUAACAGCUUCUCUCCAACUUAUAUGGCAUUCUGCCAUACAUUGUGGAGUUCAAAGAAAUCACAGACAUUAUUUCAAGAGCACAUUAUUUGGAAGAAUAAAUAUGCUAGAAAUAUUUAGGGCUUGGCAGAUAGUAAAAAUAGUUGGUUUUUAUUUUUAUUAUUAUUAUUUAUUAUUAUUAACAAACAUUUCUAUCGAUUAGAAUUUAGUGCUCCCUUAAAUCAGGUGUUUGUAAACCCCUUUUAUUUCUUUUAUUCCAUUAUUUAGUCAAUCAAAGAACACAUAUCUGCACAGUAGGAACCAAUCUCCCUGCCACACAUCUAUCCACUACCCCCAGCAGUGUUUGUAUUUCGGCAGGCUUUCUCUCGUGGGGCUUAAAGAAUCACAUGUGUUUGUAGGCAUUUUAUCAAGUAGUUUAAAGAGCAUAAAACUUGCAGUCAUAAUUUUGGAAGUAAAUUUUAUUGUUAUGGCUUUAAAACACAAUCAAAUAAGAGCAAGAAUUCCAUUAGUAGUUGAAUAUUGUGAUAAUAGAGUUGAGAAUAAAUUUUAUUGCUAUAGGAACUAUAAAACAGCGAUAAUAAAAACACUAUUAUUGUGAAUAAAUUGUAUUGAGAUGACUAACUAGAAAGCUAUAAAACACGAUGAUAAGGGGUAAUCUAAUCACCAGGAAAGACGUGAUAAUAAUUCACCCUUGUUAGUGAGGAUCCUGGGGUUCCAGCUCACUGGCCUUGAGGCUCUGGGUUACUGCCUGCAUUCCAUAAGGUUACAGAAAGAUAAUCUUUGGCCAGUGGGGUUGGCAGGAGACCACAUAUUACAGUAAAAUUGGACAUGGGGAUUGGGGGAAAUCCAAUUAUCAGUGAGUGUUAGGAAAACCCUGUGUAGUAAUGCCAACCAAAUGCCCUCACAAAACAUUUGGGCAGGGGAAAAUGUUUACAGAGUUUUACUGACAGUUUUUGUGUAUUAUUUGAUUGUGUGCUUUCAUGCCUUUAAAAUGUUUUGUGUGUAUUCUUUCAGAACAACUGAGUAGAAUUGCACUUUUGUUGAGGGGUAGCUGUGGGCUUGCCUUUUCUGCGAAACGCUCCAUGUGCGUCUUCAUUCCAUCCCAGUGUGCACUCUCAGUCCUCGGCCCAUCCAGCUGCCAAGGUGACAGUCCCAUUGACACCUGUACUCCAGCAUUCACCACAUCCCUUCCCUCAUGUGAGAGAAAGAGUGUUGUGUAAAAUGUUAUUCACUAUUUAAAAGUAUAUGAGCUUGUGAUGGAGUUUAUGACGUCAUUGCUCAAAUGUGGUUUUACUGAAAUGUCCUCGGAUUUACGUUAUCUUGACUUUCUAAAGUCACUAUCAACAACAGUGACAAACUGGCUGGAGAGAGGCUCUGGAUUUUCUUUAUCUUUCCUCAGAACAAUGGAGCUUCUGCUCUGGACCUUUUGCUUUUUGGGUCUGCUGGUUCCUGUGACCACAAUAGGUGAGUGAGAUAUGAGACGAUGGACCAACCUGUGGUUUCAAUUAUUUAAAUAAUUUUUUUCAUCAUCAACGGAGCUGGUCCUUACCCUCUUCCUAUGUAUGUAUAUCAACUUGAAUGGUAAUAGCUGAGAGCACUAAAGUUUUAUCAUUAAAAAUUACUCUUGGAAUCCUUGAAUAAAUUUCUAACAAGUAUUUCCUCACCACUAGAUAUGUUAUGUUUUAUGAGUGGGAAAAGGAAAUUAUAAUAAAAUUUUUAUAUCUCUUAUUUUCAUAGUUUCUCAAUUAGUAAAUCAUAUUGCUCUAGUUAGUAAGAAAAAUGUUUAAAAUUAUCAAAUAAUUUCACUUAGAGAUAAUCAUUGCUAAUGUUCCUGAUAGAUAGCUAAUUAUGUUUAGAAUACUAUUGCUAAGAUUACAGUUAAAUCAUGGUAAUUUUCCUAUGACAUUCGUGAUUCAUUUAUAGCAUAUUACAAUUGUUAAUAACGUUCAAUCAUUUUGGCUAACUUUUAUGUUUACAAUUUUACAAAUAAUGUCACAAUGAUCAGCUAGGCAAUUUCUUUCAAAUUUUUGAAUAGCAUACUCAAAUAUAAGUUAGAGGAAGUUCAACUAUUGGGUUAGAAAAAUACAUUUAAGCAUCGUGGUAUAAAGUGGCUUGAUAAGGACUGUAUCAGUGUAUACAUUUAACAGCCAUGUAGAAAAGCAUUUUAUUUAAGCAUUUGCCAACUUGAUGAGUAAAACCUACCCACCCUCUUUACAUUCUUUACAUCUCAAUGCCUUAUGAUAAGGUUAAAUGCUUUAUCUCCCAUAUUUCUCAUUUUCUAUCUUAUAUAUUCCAUUUACCCACCUUUUGGUGAUCUUUUCUAUUCUUAAAGGAUAACUUCUCUAAACACAUACUAAGCAUCCGACUGUGUGUGAUUGGGCACAGUUUUCUUAUAAAGUACUUCUUGGCCUUGUCCAUCCAUAGCUCAUUAUUUCCGUCCCUGGUGUAUCUUUUGUGAAAUGUGUGUGGUUUAACUGCUGUUUCUACUUUUGCUUCAUAGUUAAAACAAAUAUGCUUCUUGAUGACUAGAAAGAUCCACUUUGAGAUUCACUCCAAGCUGACUGCCUGGCAUAGGCUGCCCCUUGUCCUUAGAGCCUGAUUUUAAGUAUAUAUAGAGAAUUUGGAAUCUGUAUGUUGUUAAACAACCUGUGUAAAAUGUUUAGAAAUUUCUUUCUUACCUUUUCUUUUUGUUUGUGUGAUUCAAUACAAGUAGCUAAUCCAUCUUCCUUUCUGAGUUUCUUCAUCCAUAAAAUAGAGACAAAGAUGCAUGCAUAUUUUAUAGAGAAAAUAUGGAAUAAAGAGGCUGCUGAUAAAACAUUAAGAGAUAGGACUGGGGAGAUGGCUCAGGAGAGUGCUGCUCCAGCAUGAGGACCUGAGUUAUGAAUACCCAAUGCUCAUGGAAAAAGCUGGGUGUGGCAGUGUGUGCAUGUGGGUGUGGCAGUCCUGGAGAUGAGAGGUGGAUCUCUAUAUGUCACUAUUCACCAAGCUUAGCCGAGUUGGCAAGAUCUGGGUUCUGUGAGAGAUGCUGUCUCAAAAACUGAGUGGAGUCCUCACCUCUCAUCAAGGAAAAUUCUCAUACAUCAUAGAAGACCAUUAUGGAAAACCACAACCAAUCAAAUUCAGAGUUGUAAAGCCCAAUCCCAAUGCAUAUGUCUACAAAACACACUCACACUGAAGAAGAGGAAGCAGAAAGAUCAUAGGAGCCAGAGAAGAUGAGAGAGUUUGUUGUAAGAUUGUAUCUCUUAGUAAUGUUAAAAGCUACACCAUAAAAUCUGACCACUAUGACUACCUAGAAGAAAUGAGCUGAACAAGGCAACAUCAACAGAUAUACCAACAUGGACGAGGGGAAGCCCAUGAGGCCUCAACCCCUAUACAAAACAACUACAGGUAAAUAAGGGAUUCUGAGAGCAGGACAAAUAAAGUCUUACCCAGGGAUAACCAUACCAAUUGGUUAUCCAAUUCCAAAUACUCGGCCAUGAAAUCAUAUAUGCGAUUAAUAUUAUACAGACUGAGCAGCUUAUAUUUAGAAAUAUAUGUACACAUACAUAUAUGCAUGUAACAACAGUUAGGGUGGAGGGAAAUAGAAAAAGACAGUUGAUAUGAACAUCUACCUCUACAUACAUAUAUACAUGGACACAUGCACACAUACCUACAUGCAUAUCUUCAUACAGACAGAAAUAGAUACAUACACCCCCAUUUGCCCCAAGUAAAUAUAUAUAUGAUAAAUUAUAGAUAGCGAUAGAUACAUUCUUACUUAGAUAUAUCAAUACAUAGAUAUAUAUGUGAUAGAUAGAUAAUAUUAGAUUAAGAGUCUUGGCUCUUACACAUCUUUUGACAAUGAAUCCUUGUUUCUGGAAAACUAUACUGAGAAAUAAGAUGUGGAAUUGUUUUAUACAUUGGAAUAAUCUUUAUUUACAAUACAAAUAUUAUAGUGUUGGGAAAUCAGUGUUCAAUGAUAGAUUAUAUAAAUGUUCAUAUGUAGUGAAUGAUACUUGGAUAUUGUCAUAGUUAAUUUUUAUUAACUUGCCUGAAUUAAAGUCAUCAUGGAUCAUAUCUCUGAGUGCAUCUAUGUAUUUCUAGAAAUGUUUACUGAAGGAAAGGUUGCCCUCUGAAUGUGAGGGUACCACACCAUAGCUGGAGACCUAGAACAAAUGUAGGGAAGAGCCCAUUUAAGUACCAGAACUCAUCUGUCUCUGCUUCCUACGUGUGAUUGCAAUGUGAGUAGCCACCAUACUCUCCUCCCAUCAUGCAUUCCCCAUCCCAAUAGGCUGUACACACAAACUCUGGGUCAAAAUAAAUCCGUCUUUCUUUCAGUUGCUUUUUGCCAGGUGUUUUGCCACAACAAUAAUAAAAGCAACUAAGAAAGUUAUUUGCUCAUGAAAAUAAUAACUAUGAAGAACUUUCAUAACAUUGAAAAAUUAUGUUUCAUACUAAAGGAUGGAUGUGUAAUAUAAAAGAAGAUGAAAUACUUAGAAAAGUAAGGAGAAAAAAUGAUAUCCAAAUAGUAAUAACGACCUUUGGUUAAUGAUUUCUUUUCCUCUUCUCUAUACUAUUUUCCACCUUGCAGAUAUUCUACAAUGAACAUAUAUGACACUUGCAUUCAAGGGAAAGACUGCCUGACACUUCCACUUGGAAGUAAUUAGGCACAGGGAGUAACCUCGGAGAGUAGGGUGGCCAGUAGAUGGAUCUUCAUGACUGCAUUUGAGGAAAGCAUUUCAAAGCCUCUUGACUUUGUCAUUUAGGGCAUUUUUGUUUUCAUUAUUACUUGGUAAUCUAAUGGGACCUGACAGUGGAUUCCUGUGAUACCAACAGGAGGCUGAUCUUAGAGGAUUAUGUAUUUGAGGUCACCCUGGGCUACAUAGCAAGACCCUGUCUGGACAAAACUGUUUACAAACACUUGUAUUAAAUCUUUGAGACUUUCAUAGAAUACAUUUUGAUCAUAUGCACCUUUUCCCCUAACUCCUCCCAUACCUACUCUCACUUUAUCACCCACCCACCCAACUUUUAGUUGAUUCUCCAUUUUUUUUUCCAUUGAGUUCAGUUUAUGUCACUCAAUCAGAGCUGGGAGCAGGGCCUACCCUGGCAUGUGGUCUAUCUAUGAGGACUCACAUCAUAAAAGAAAAAUAAUGUUCCAAAUGCCAUCAAAUACCAAUGUUUCAUUAGCUAGUAGUAUGAUUCCAUGCUCACCUCCCUCCUGGUAUACUGGGGUUUUGUCUGGAUUGAGCUUUCCCAAGCCUUGUGCAUACUAUCACAGUCAGUGUGAAUUUAUAUGGGCAGCUACUGUUUCAUUACAAUUAUAUACUGCCUCUCUCUUACAAUAUUUUUUGCCCCCUCUUUAUGAGAUUUCAGAGUUUUUGAAGGUGUAAUAUAUAUGUCCCAUUUAGGGUCAACCCUUUCACAAUCUCUUAUUCUCUGUACACUGACCAAUUGAAGGUUUCUGUGUCAGUUGCCACCUACGGCAAGAAGACGCUCCUCUGGAUAUAGGUAAGAAACAUAUUGAUCUCUAUAUAGGUAUUGCCAUAAGUCAUUAGGAGUCAUUUCACACUAUGCCAAUUUAGCAAGUAGUAUUAGGAACCAUACCUAUCUUUCCAUAGGUUCUUGGCCCUAUUAACAGUGCCAAGAGUAGAUUUCAUCUCAUGGACCAGGUCAUCAACUCAACCAGAAAGAUGCUGGUUUCUUCCACAUUUGUACCACCAUUUUGCCAGUGGGAUAUGUUAUUAGAUCAGUCAUUACUGGAGCUUGCAGUUUUCAUAGCUGAGGGAGACUGUUGAUUUCUUUUCUUCUUCAGUAGUGUGAACAGCACCUUCUAGCACUAUAAAAUCUACCCAGUGGGGAUGAAGCUUCCAGCUUGAUUUCUCCAUAUUUUUGGAUUCAGGUGUGUGGUGCUAUCAGCACUGGACUCAAGUUUGGAUAACCAAGAACAUUGACAAUAGCCUACAGCGUUUAGAUGUCUGUGGGACCACACUGGAUGACUCAAAAAGAGAACGCUCAUUCCAGAAAAGAAGACUCAAGAAAGAAAAAACACAAUGCUGUAGAUGUUCAAGAACAUGGGGAAAUGAUGAAAGUCACUGGAAUACUAGUUAAUUAGCUGUCCAGCAAGUUUCCCUGUGAUUCACCACCACUGCAGAAAUUUGCAUCACAGCAUCUCCUAAAGCUGACACACCAGUGCCAUCAAGAAAGUAUUUCCCCACGCAUAUUUAUUAAGUAAAUGGAUUAUCAGAAUGAUCUUCAAUGGAUAUUCAAACUUCCUGUUCUUUGUUAAAUAAAGCGUUUUAGCCAGGAA